rnacentral:rRNA from 1 species
UGAGGAAUAUUGGACAAUGGUGGGAACACUGAUCCAGCCAUGCCGCGUGCAGGAUGACUGCCCUAUGGGUUGUAAACUGCUUUUAUACAGGAAGAAACCUCCCUUCGUGCAAGGGAAUUGACGGUACUGUAGGAAUAAGGAUCGGCUAACUCCGUGCCAGCAGCCGCGGUAAUACGGAGGAUCCAAGCGUUAUCCGGAAUCAUUGGGUUUAAAGGGUCCGCAGGCGGGUCGUUAAGUCAGAGGUGAAAGUUUGCAGCUUAACUGUAAAAUUGCCUUUGAUACUGACGGUCUUGAAUCAUUGUGAAGUGGUUAGAAUAUGUAGUGUAGCGGUGAAAUGCAUAGAUAUUACAUAGAAUACCGAUUGCGAAGGCAGGUCACUAACAAUGUAUUGACGCUGAGGGACGAAAGCGUGGGUAGCGAACGGGAUUAGAUACCCCCGUAGUCC